rnacentral:lncRNA from 1 species
GUGAUGAAGGUGAAUGUGGUGACCAGAGGAAGAUUAGAGAGGAUGCAGCUGCCAUUGAGGAUGCCUCUUGAAGACAGAUGGUGACCCAGAACACUGUGGAAGCUAAGUUGAGAGGCCAUGGGUGUUGAUGUGGUACAGCAUUCCCAGCGGGCCCGAGGGAGAUGGAGAAAGAAAGGGUCAUGCCCCUAGGAAGGUGAGUUAGAGAUUUGUUGCUAGAAGUAGAGUAUUGUGGUCAGCGGUUCCCUGGUUAAUUUUUGCUUUGUGCUUAUAGGUGUGGAGCAAUGUGGAGAGCGGGUCGCUUGCAUGCAGGAGGAGCAUGGCAAGGUGAGUGUCAGUCUGAUAUUUGAAGUAGAGGCUAGGGUAGGGCUGUUGUCUUGUUGGCGCUGUCUGUAUUGCCCACCACUGUUUUGGUUUUACAGGUGGGUGGCUGGCCUUGGCGUGGCGACCUGUAGCAUGGUGGUCGGGAUGGGUGAGCAGAGCAGGUGAAGGUGUGGGAGCAAAUGCUUGAUGUGGGUGGGCUGUGGUUCUGCAGGCAUGAUCUGAGUGCUUGCUUUCUGUUUGUUUGCAGGUUUUGCAGGAAGUUGUGGAGAGGAGAAGUUGAGUGCUGACAAGAGCCUGAGCAGGUACUGUGUGGGCCUUUCCCAGGCAUGGUUGAGGAUGUCAGGUGAGCAGACUGGUGUUGGGCAUUGUUGCGCUGGUGAGCGCUGCCUAGCAGAAGAGUCACUUUGUUUUGUUUUUUGCAGGUGCUGCGGGCUCCCUCUGGGCAUAAUUUUGGAGUUGGGAAUUGGCACAGUGCAGGUGAUGAAGGUGAAUGUGGUGACCGGAGGAAGAUCAGAGAGGAUGUGGCUGUCAUUGAGAAUGUGUCUUGAAGACAGAGGGUGACCUAGAGCACUGCAAAAGCUAAGUUGAGGGGCCAUGGGUGUUGGUGUGUCUUGACUGUGUGUGUGUGUGUGUGUGUGUGUGUGCUGACAGUGAGUGUAGAGUGGAGGGCUCUUCUGGAUGAAUGCUUUGUGUGAGGCAGAGGUGAUGGGGUGUGCCUGGCAGAAGAUGAGGGUGUGCUAGGCAGGGCAGCUCCAGCCUCUGUCUGUGUUGUGGUGUAGUCUGUGGUGUGUGUUGUAGCUGUGCUAUCUUUUGCUCAGGUCUUGAUGUUGCUCUUGUUCCUCAUGCUCAAGGAGCAUGGCCCACACUGUGUAGCACUAGCGCGGUAGGCAUCUGUUGUCUUUUGCCUGGCCUGACUCAUCUGCUUUGUGCCAAUGGAUGGUGUCUUGUUCUGUGCAGCCAGCUAAAAGGAGCCGUCUGUCGCUCUGUGUUUGCAUUGUGGCUGUUUGUGGCCAGUCAUCUCUG